ACUGCACCGCAACAAUUUUAGAUCCCAUUUUCUCUUUCUUACAUCAUCUAUACUACCUCCAAACCACGUGUUAUUUGGCUUGUAAAACUGACCCUUCAUGAGUCCUCUCCCUUCCGUUCUUCACACUCUCAAGUUAAUUUGAAACAUAGCAUUAACUCCAUUUUCAUCACGCACACUUCGUGAAACACAAACGCGCUUCGUCUCUCUUACUCUCUCUGUGUCUCUCUCGCGAAUAGAUCCCUCUGCCUCAACUCAAAUGCACCUCCAUUGUUAAAUGUAACUUAUUCUUUCUGCUUUCAACUCUCAAGCAACAACUUCCCUGAUUGUAAACGAAGAUCUGGAAUCUUCUAGAAGCAUAAUGCUGAGUUUGGAUUUGUGUUUUUUUUUUCUCUCUCGAAUGGCUCGAGUAGAGAGAAUUUGUUAGGGUUUUUGAUUUUUCCGUUAAUCUCUGUUUGAUGCUUUGUGUGCCACCGAUGACUGUUCAGGAAACUCCCAUGGCAUAUUCCUCCCAUGAUAGAGGAAACAAUGAAACACGUGAAGCUUAUGCCAAAAAGCUAAGAGCUCAGAAUUCA